UACGUAGGGGCCAAGCGUUGUCCGGAAUUACUGGGCGUAAAGCGUGGGUAGGUGGUCGAUGAUGUGCCGCGUGAAAGCGCCGGAGUAAUGCCGGCGAGGUCGCGGUAGACACGUUGACUAGAGGCUCGCAGAGGAACGUGGAAUUCCCGGUGUAGUGGUGAAAUGCGUAGAUAUCGGGAGGAACACCAGUGGCGCAAGCGGCGUUCUGGGCGAGACCUGACACUGAGCCACGACGGCGUGGGGAGCAAAC
rnacentral:rRNA from 1 species